rnacentral:rRNA from 1 species
UUGGAGGGCAAGUCUGGUGCCAGCAGCCGCGGUAAUUCCAGCUCCAAUAGCGUAUAUUAAAGUUGUUGCAGUUAAAAAGCUCGUAGUUGAAUUUCGGGAUCAAGGAAUCGGUCAUGCCUUGGUAUGUACUGGUUUUAUUGGUUCUCACCUUCUAAAGAACCAUAAUGUCAUUUAUUUGAUGUUAUGGGGAACUAGGACUGUUACCUUGAAAAAAUUAGAGUGUUUAAAGCAAGCUUACGCUUGAAUACAUUAGCAUGGAAUAAUGAAAUAGGACAUCAGAUUCUAUUUUGUUGGUUUCUAGGAUCGAUGUAAUGAUUAAUAGGGAUAGUUGGGGGCAUUAGUAUUCAAUUGUCAGAGGUGAAAUUCUUGGAUUUAUUGAAGACUAACUACUGCGAAAGCAUUUGCCAAGGAUGUUUUCAUUAAUCAAGAACGAAAGUUAGGGGAUCGAAGACGAUCAGAUACCGUCGUAGUCUUAACCAUAAACUAUGCCGACUAGGGAUCGGAUGAUGUUAAUUUUUUAAUGACUCAUUCGGCGCCUUACGGGAAAC